UAGGCUCAUAUGUGUCGCAGA
rnacentral:misc_RNA from 1 species